ensembl:misc_RNA Metazoa_SRP Metazoan signal recognition particle RNA
GCUGGGCAUGGUGGCGCGUGCCUGUAAUCCCAGCUACUCAGGAGGCUGAGGCAGGAGAAUUGCUUGAACCCAGGAGGUGGAGGUUGCGGUGAGCCGAGAUCGCGCCAUUGCACUCCAGCCUGGGUAACAAGAGCAAAACUCUGUCUCAA